UUCCGGUUGAUCCCGCCGGAGGUCACUGCUAUUGGGAUUCGACUAAGCCAUGCGAGUCGAGAGGGUUCGGCCCUCGGCUGACGGCUCAGUAACACGUGGAUAAUCUGCCCUAAGGUGGAGGAUACCCUCGGGAAACUGAGAAUAAUACUCCAUAGGUCUAGGAUGCUGGAAUGCAUUUAGACUUAAAGCUCCGACGCCUUAGGAUGAGUCUGCGGACUAUCAGGUUGUAGUCAGGGUAAUGACCUGACUAGCCUACGACGGAUACGGGUUGUGAGAGCAAUAACCCGGAGAUGAUAUCUGAGACACGAUAUCAGGCCCUACGGGGCGCAGCAGGCGCGAAAACUUCACAAUGUGCGAAAGCACGAUGAGGGAAUCCCAAGUGCUUGCUCGUAAGAGUAAGCUGUUUCUAUGUUUAAAACGCAUGGAGAGUAAGGGCUGGGUAAGACGGGUGCCAGCCGCCGCGGUAAUACCUGCAGCUCUAGUGGUGACCGCUAUUAUUGGGCCUAAAACGUCCGUAGCCGGUUUAAUAAAUGCCUGGGUAAAUCGUGUAGCUUAACUAUACGAAUUCCGGGUAGACUGUUAAACUUGAGACCGGGAGAAGUUAGAGGUACUCCUGGGGUAGAGGUG
rnacentral:rRNA from 1 species